UAAUCCCAAGAAUGGAGAAAUAGUCCCGAAAGUCCCAAAAAUCCCAAAUUAGUUCUCAAAAUCCCCAAAUUCCUAAAUUAAUCCCAAGAAUGGAGAAAUAGUCCCGAAAGUCCCAAAAAUCCUAAAUUAGUCCCAAAAAUCCCGAAAUACUCCUGAAAAUCCCACAAGUCCCGAAAUCAGUUCCGAGAAUCCCAAAAUAGGCCCGAAAGUCCCAAAAAUCCGAAAAUAGGUCCCAAAUAUCCCGAAUUAACUCUCAAAAUCCCAAAAUUCCUAAUUAAUCCCAAGAAUAGAGAAAUAGUCCCGAAAGUCCCAAAAAUCCGAAAUUAGUUCCAAAAGUCCCGAAAUACUCCUGAAAACCCUGAAAUGGUUCCGAAAGUCUCAAAAAUCCAAAAAGACCCAAAAAAAAACCGAUA